rnacentral:tRNA from 1 species
GCAGUCGUAGCCUACUGGUUAGGGCUUUGGGUUUGGAACCAAAGGGUUGCUGGUUCCAUCCCCGUACCAGUGGG